GGAAGUUGUGUCCUGCCCCGAGGACGUGUUUAAGCACAUGAUGCGGGGAGAGAAAAAUCGACACUUUGGUGAAACUAACAUGAACGACCGCAGUAGUAGAAGUCACACAAUUUUCCGAGUGGUUAUCGAGAGUCGAGAAAUGAUGGACGAAAGCAAAGACCGCGAUGCGAUAGAUGGUGNCCCGUG